ACGUAGGAGGCAAACGUUAUCCGGAUUUACUGGGCGUAAAGCGCGUGUAGGUGGUUCUGUAAGUAGGGCGUGAAAGCUCCCGGCUCAACUGGGAGAGGCCGUUCUAAACUGCAGAACUAGAGGAUGGUAGAGGGAGGUGGAAUUUCAGGUGUCGCGGUAGAAUGCGCAGAUAUCUGAAGGAACGCCAGUGGCGAAAGCGGCCUCCUGGACCAUUCCUGACACGCAGAAGCGUAAGCUAGGGUAGCAAAUGG
rnacentral:rRNA from 1 species